rnacentral:rRNA from 1 species
AUGUGGACCUAUCUUCGUCAGCGCUAUGAGCCCUCUGGUGAUGCCUUAUACCUUUCUGUGGUUCGUCAGGAGCAUGCUCUUCAGCAGGGUGACUCUACUGUUGAUGACUUUUAUGCACAGAGUUCUGCUAUCUGGCGCCAGCUUGAUUCUCUCUGCAGUGCUGGUUGUCGUACUUGCCCCUGCUGCCAGGCUGUCCAGGCCAAUUUGGAGUUUCAUCGCGUCUACGAGUUCUUGUCUCGGCUCCGUAAGGAGUUUGAGCCCCGGCGUGCUCAGUUGUUUGCUCGUGGCCGUAUUUCUCUCAUGGAGGCGCUUUCAGAGAUUCGUGCUGAGGAGACUCGCCUACGUGGCCGUAAGGAGUUAUAA